rnacentral:rRNA from 1 species
AUGGUUAAGUUAGAAAGGGCGCACGGUGAAUGCCUUGGCACUAGGAGCCGAUGAAGGACGGGACUAACACCGAUAUGCUUCGGGGAGCUGUAAGUGAGCUUUGAUCCGGAGAUUUCCGAAUGGGGAAACCCACUGUUCGU